AACUGGUUAUUGCUCCGCUUCGCUUGUGUGUAUUUUCUGAUACUACUAAUAUUCAAGUAGUGUUGCUCAUGGAGUUUGUCUGUUGGUUUUCAAUCUGUUUAUGGGCUAUUCUGUUGGGUUUUGAAUACUGAUUCAAUUGAGUAUUGUGGUCUCCUGUCGAAAGUUCAUUGGGAUUUCCAUCACUGGUUAUUGUUGCUUCACUGGAUAUUGCUG
rnacentral:lncRNA from 1 species